rnacentral:rRNA from 1 species
AGAGUUUGAUUAUGGCUCAGAUUGAACGCUGGCGGCAGGCCUAACACAUGCAAGUCGAGCGGUAGCACAGAGAGCUUGCUCUCGGGUGACGAGCGGCGGACGGGUGAGUAAUGUCUGGGAAACUGCCUGAUGGAGGGGGAUAACUACUGGAAACGGUAGCUAAUACCGCAUAACGUCGCAAGACCAAAGUGGGGGACCUUCGGGCCUCAUGCCAUCAGAUGUGCCCAGAUGGGAUUAGCUAGUAGGUGGGGUAAUGGCUCACCUAGGCGACGAUCCCUAGCUGGUCUGAGAGGAUGACCAGCCACACUGGAACUGAGACACGGUCCAGACUCCUACGGGAGGCAGCAGUGGGGAAUAUUGCACAAUGGGCGCAAGCCUGAUGCAGCCAUGCCGCGUGUAUGAAGAAGGCCUUCGGGUUGUAAAGUACUUUCAGCGAGGAGGAAGGCAUUAAGGUUAAUAACCUUAGUGAUUGACGUUACUCGCAGAAGAAGCACCGGCUAACUCCGUGCCAGCCGCCGCGGUAA